CUAAACACUAAACCUUUUAUCUUUACAAUAUACUUACCUGCUGCUAUACUUGUUGGGAGACUGUAUUUUCUAGAUGUAAUUUAGAUUCUAAAAAAAUAAUUAUCCUUAACUGACAAAUUUAGGCUACCUGAGCUCUUUGAGGAAAAAACUGAUUUGAUGUAUCUCUCUUUCUCAGUUGGCAUACUUCAGAGAGAUAUGCGAGUUCAUGGGCCUGCCUGGUUUCGCUCCCAAAAGGUUCAUUCAGCAUCGCUGGCUAUCGGCUUAUGAUGUUGCCAUUAGCACCCAGAGGCUGCUUCCUGUCUACAAGGUUCUUUACUAUGGCUUUAUGGACAGGGAACCCAAGGCCCUCUACAAGGACCCCUUGAGGCAGCUUUUUGCCAAUUACAAAGUGAGCGAAAAGGCACAGAGACAGAUUCAAUCCUUUCAUGAGGACCUCAGCAAAAAAGGGCAGUCAGACACUUGUUCAUAAACUGCAUGAAAAACAGCUUCAAGUCUUUACCAACUUCCUUGCCUGCUUUGUCAAAUCUGAGCACCUGAACCUGAUGUCCAAAACUCUGGCUACUAUGGAAUUGGACAACAAACUGCUGCCUGUGAGGGAGAUGUAUGUGGGGUAGAAGGCUAAUCAAUUCAGAGUGGCACAUCCACAACACCCUCUGCUGAAGCCAUUCCUGGAAGAAGUCUCCCAGGCAUACAUCACGUGUGCCAGAUACUUACAAAAAAAGCUGCCACUGCAGAGCAAGACCCUCCAGUGUUUGUCGGCCAUGGACCCAAUACUGAGAGGGCACUCUCAAACUGGGUCUGAACUGAGGAAACUCACUGCAAUGAUGGAUCACCUGCUGCCUGAUGUUGACACACACCAGGAAAUUAUCCAGUACAACGUAGAUCAGUCCCUGCCCAGCUUCCAAGAUGGAGAUGAUGUUGUGAGGUGGUGGGCCUGUGUCGACGAUACUGGAAAAUAUCCAGGCCUGUGUCAAGCAGUGAAAGCUGCAAUGUCAAUAUUCCAUGGCCCAUUAUUUGAAUCUUCUUUUAAUUUAAUGGGCAACAUUAUUGACAAGAAAAGUACAAGCUUUAACAUCACCACAUUCGGCACUAUCCAGACUGUCAAAUAUACUCUACAGAGCAGAAAGCUGAGUGCUGUGGAUAUGUUCAGCUGAGAUGAUUCAAAAUUUGAGCCAGUAGAUAGAAGGCUGUGUGGGAACAUCAUUACGGCUGGAACCAGGGACAAAGCCCAGCGGCAGCAAAAGCAGCUGAAAGUCAGCGAAAGGAGUGUGGAGUUUGGCUGCCAGCCAUCCACUAGUGCUGCUGUAAAUAGGGCAGAAGUGGUGGAGGAAGAAAGUGUGGCCCGAAAGAGGCACAUG